UUUUUGAAUCUUUAAAGUUUUUUUGUUUUAUGGCUCUCGAUAGCCAAAUUUUAUUUAAAACAUUUAAAAAAACACUGCUAGUGUUGAUAUUUAUGCGUGGCACUGUCACGCACGGCAUGCUUUUGAGAAAAAGUGCAACAUUCGACGCAGUCUGCAGUGAUGCGAGGACCCACAGCAAUUUUGGACCAGUACGAAGAUCCUUAGGAGGCGCUGUUCGAUGGACAAAUGUGCAUGAAGACAUGCAGUAAAGCAAAAGGGGAGAUGAAGUAUUGCUCUCCAGGCCCUUUGCCAGACGCAAAAUUAACCGGGAAGUGCGUGGAUGUCGAUAUCCAUGAUUGUCCUUGCCAUCGUGGCGAUAAUUAAUUUCUUAUGCAUUUAGUAGUCGCUAAUGCUAUCCAUGCUGGCUCUUUUGCAGUUUCUAUUGCUCUUGUCAGUUUUCCGUUUAUGCUUCUGGCGCAUUAUCCAAAUCGAUUUUUUUACUUAAUUAUGUUGGUGUUUUCAUGAGAAAGUAUG